rnacentral:rRNA from 1 species
UCCUACGGGGGGCUGCAGUGGGGGAUAUUGCGCAAUGGGCGAAAGCCUGACGCAGCGACGCCGCGUGGGUGAUGAAGGCCUUCGGGUCGUAAAGCCCUGUCGAGGGGGACGAAACGGCUCCGACCUAAUACGUCGGGGUUCUGACGGUACCCCUAAAGGAAGCACCGGCUAACUCCGUGCCAGCAGCCGCGGUAAUACGGAGGGUGCGAGCGUUGUUCGGAAUCACUGGGCGUAAAGCGCGUGUAGGCGGUCUGCUAAGUCUGAUGUGAAAGCCCGGGGCUCACCCCCGGAAGUGCAUUGGAAACUGACAGACUGGAGUCCCGGAGAGGAGGGUGGAAUUCCUGGUGUAGCGGUGAAAUGCGUAGAUAUCAGGAGGAACACCGGUGGCGAAGGCGGCCCUCUGGACGGUGACUGACGCUGAGACGCGAAAGCGUGGGGAGCAAACAGGAUUAGAUACCCCGGUAGUCC